rnacentral:rRNA from 1 species
GUUGAACGCUGGCGGCGUGCCUAACACAUGCAAGUCGAGCGGACGGAUAGGGAUCUUGCCCGUUUGCAGCUACCGGCGGACGGGUGAGUCAUAGGUGGGUAACCUAUCUAUAGGGCUGACAUAACGCCGGGAGAGCGAGGACAACGUCGGACCACAUGUUGAACCGGAGGGAUCUACGGAGAACAGCGGCUCUGCUGUCACUAAGAGAGGGACCCGCGCCGGUUUGGCUAGUUGGUGAGGUAACGGCUCACCAAGGCAACGAUACGUAGCUGACCUGAGAGGGUGAUCGGCCACACUGGAACUGAGACACGGUCCAGACUCCUACGGGAGGCAGCAGUAGGGAAUCUUCCGCAAUGGGCGAAAGCCUGACGGAGCCACGCCGCGUGAGUGAUGAAGGUCUUCGGAUCGUAAAACUCUGUUAGUAGGGAAGAACAAAUGCGUAAGUAACUGUGCGCGUCUUGACGGUACCUAAUCAGAAAGCCACGGCUAACUACGUG